AGCUGAUGAUUAGGUUAAAAGUAAAUACUGGACAAAGUAGUUAAAAGCACAAAUACCCUUCAUUUGCCCCUGUGGUGAACAAUGUUUCUUAAAUCUUGGCCCCAGCAGCUCGGUCACUUUUUGGCUCAAGUACUGUCUUUGAAAUGAAUUAGCAAAGAACUUGUUCUGAGACAAUGCACACUCCAAAAGCUAUGGUUUAUGGUUCACUUUUUUCACUCUCCUAAAACUUUUAAUUGUGCACUUGGUAGGAGAUCACAGUAGGGCUCAGAGCAUUUUGUUUCAUUUUUCUUCAGGAUUCUUGGAUGAGCCAAACAGCUGUUUGCUGCUUUCCCUGGGUCUGGUGGCAGCGUUUUUUUCCCUGUAAUCUGCCAUUCACCUUAGGGAGCCUGGUGUUUACUUCACACAGUUCUGGCAGUGUCUUAAAGCCUUUUGUGUGAGUAAAUGACAUGUUGAGGUCCCUGUGUGCUGUCAGAUUGAAAUGAGGAGACUGUGGAAACAGUAAUUAAAAAGGCUAAAAAACCCCUUCCUACAGUUCAAGCCAAUAAACUUUAUCUUUCUAAAUGCUUUAGCAGGCUCCCCAUAAUUAUGACUCCUGGCUUACUGCAAAAUCUCACUAGACAAAUUGAAAGCUUUCUCCCCCUUCUAUUUAAAUAUGUUUACAUACAUCUAGAGCAAAAGAUAACCUCUUUGUAUGUGUCUGUGCUGUUCUUUUGAAGCUUUUUGAACACUUUUUCAAGAAGGGACUGGGGGUUGGAUUGGAUGAUCUCCAGAGGUUUCUUCCAACCCUUAAUAUCCUGGGAUCCUGUGACUCUACUUGCUUCUCUACCUGUUUAGCUGCUGGGAGAUAAUGAGACUUGGUAAAAGGCAAAAAAAAAAAAACAAUAGAAAGUUCUGCAAACCUAAUGAGACUUGCAAAUGGUUUUGUGUUUGCUUAAAUAAACCAACAAAUAACUGUUUCCCGGUGUUUAUUUCAGCUGGGUUGUUCCCAUUUCUCCAUAUUGAGCUGUUUUAAUGCUGUAAAAUUUGUUGCCCCACAGAGAGUGUGAUCUAGAAGAGAAAUCUGCACUUGCAUUUUGUGGCUUUGAAGAAACACCCAGAGCCUUCGGCACAUGUUUUACUCCCUUAAUCCAAAGCUUCCUUUUGGUUGCACAUAUGUUCAGUGACACAGGGGAAGCAGUCACUCAUCCAGCUUAAAGUGUCUUAGGGAAAAAUCGGAAGUGGGCUCUGUGGCAAGAGAAACUUUAGCUGAUUCUUCUUGCAGUUUAGACAGUAAAUAAAUUGUUUUGCUUGUUAUAUUUUCCCUGGGAAUUACUGCAAAUCACAGGGAAGUAAGAGCCCUCCCAACAACUAAUGUUUGGUUAAACAUCAGAGAUGACUUUGAGGUGAUAGAGAUUGCUUUUUUUUUCAGUCUUACCUGUGGAGCAUGGCUGAAUCUCUGCUUUCAGCAGUGUACUGUAGGUAGGAAGCAAAGCAGAAAGUUGGCUGUAUUGCUAGCCUGACAGUUUGGAGCAGCACAUCAGAGCUGAGGUCAGGCAGAUGCAGUGUACUUCAUCAGGGCAAGAACUGUGUUGAUGUAAAGCUGAAAAAUUCAGACUGAUCUGUGCCAGGCUGAGCCAAGAGACCAGUGGAGGCCAUGUGAGAUGAAUCAUCCAGUUCCACACUUCCCUCAGCUCCAUCAAAACCAUCCGGACACCUCCUGCUCCCUGUUUCUGCUUAUAGUUUCUUGCCUGCAUCUCAGUGUCACACUGAGUUUCUUGUUAAAGCAGCUCCCUUUGAGAUUACUCAGCUGCCUGUUCAUGCUAAAAGAUACUUGUCAUUAAUACUUGAAGAUGGCUUAAAGCCGUUCCAGAAAGUCCUUCCCUGCUGUGCUUUUGGGUUUUAUUAUUUCAUUUGUUCGAAUCAGCCUCCCUUUCACUGCAGGCAGUGCUAAUUGCAAACACAGAUACUGGGGAUGUUUCCCUGAUUAGCAAGCACAAAUAUAAAUAUUAGUGAGCAUAA